rnacentral:rRNA from 1 species
UACGUAGGUGGCAAGCGUUGUCCGGAAUUAUUGGGCGUAAAGCGCGCGCAGGCGGUUCAGUAAGUUGGAUGUUUAAAGCCGGGGCUCAACCCCGGUGCGCAUCCAAAACUGGUGAACUUGAGUGUAGGAGAGGAAAGUGGAAUUCCACGUGUAGCGGUGAAAUGCGUAGAGAUGUGGAGGAACACCAGUGGCGAAGGCGACUUUCUGGCCUAUAACUGACGCUGAGGCGCGAAAGCGUGGGGAGCAAACAGG